GGGAUGGUGAAGGAGGUUUAGAAUCUUGAGGGAAGAGGAGAUUCCAGGGGGAGACAGUUGAUCUCUCUCUUGCCUGAGAAAGCCAAGGGUGAUAAGCUGAUCAGAGAUUUCUCUCUUGAGCCAUACUAAUCAACCCCCCCCCCCCAAGACACUAAGAGUUGUGGCAAAACCUGAGAAGAAGAAAAACAGCAUCAGAAAAUCUCAUACAACUCCUAUGACACUCAGGCAGCCCUUCCUUUCUCUCCUCUGCCUCUUCAAUCCUCUGAGAUGGAGCUGAAACCCUUUGCUCUCCUGAUGCUAUCUCUGACUCAUCUCAUGCUUUCCCUGAACCCUUAAUAGCACUUAAGGCAUUAUAAUAGGUGCUGGGAUAUAGAGUUUCUUCCUUCAAAGUGUUUGCAUUCUAUUGCAAGAUGAAAUCAUCUACAGAUCAAACUGAAAAUAUAUAUGGAACAAUUGAAGAGAAGGAAACUAAAGGAUAACAAAUGGAUUUUCUCCAUCCACUUCUGUUCUUAAGUGCUGAAGAAUGGAGUUGAAGGAAGUCAGAAUGCUCUUUCAUGUAACUCAACUAUGAUCAUACCUUAUAUAAACACCGUUCAGACUCUGCUUCGGGGGAACUCACCUGGCUGAGUUAUUCCUAGCACGGUAGGAAUAAACUUCCCUUUGCCUGACUUACAUUGUCUUUGCGUGCUCCUUUGGGUGAUCUAUUCUUGGACCCUAACACAGGCUGUGCCACCAUGAGAAUGCUCUCUGACCAAGAUUAACAUAUUGCCACAAAAUGAACACAGGCAUGAAAGAACCAAUGAAGAGACAGAGUGAAACAACUUUCAACAACAACAACAACAACAAAAACCCAAAAGUAGACAAUGAACAUUUGGAGUACUGGGGUGAGAGGAGAGUAGAUCUAGCAAGAAGCUGUAGCAAGAAGGGAAGAGGAAACCAAAAGCAAGCUGCAUCCUCCCACCCAACAUCUGCUGUCUGAGGUUUGAGAACCUAUGCCCAAGCCAACAUCCAGAUCUUGAGACCCUGCCUGAAAAAAUAAAGGUACAAACUACCCCUUGAAAUUUUAAACCUGUGGAGAAAUCUGGAGUCCUAGUCAAGGGAAUUCUAGUCUGGGGUUGGGACUCUUAAUUCACACUUUGGGGUGGAAUGCUAGUAUUAUGUACAAAGUACUGAUCUUUUUACCUAAAGCUCAGGGUGGAACUCCAAGCCAAUCAAGGGUGUGCCUGAUUGGAUACAGUCAGACAAAAAACUUGAGAUUAAUCCUGAGGCUAGAAUUUGAUCAGUCCCUGACCUGAUAAUGUUCAGAGUGAGACCAAACCUUACACUUAAGUCUGAGUCAAGUCUUUAAGCUAUCAGCAUUACAAGGGUCUAAUGGAAUCACCAGGGGGAGAGGACUCCCCGACAUCUUAACAGACUAUCACACCAUCCCCUCAGAUAGGAAAAAUGAGCAAAAAACAAAAAAAAGCCCCUAACCCUAAAGAAGGUUUAUGAAGACAAAGAGCAAGGUACUGUGGGUUUUUAAAUUAAUAAUCAAUAACUAAAUAUUAUAUUUUAUAAUGUUUUAUUAGUAAUAACUAAGCAAAAGAACUUCCAGAUUUCAGCCUGGUCACAGGUCCAAAAGAGUGCUCCCGUGGGCAUAAACAGCACUCAAAACUCUCCCCACAUACAGAGAUGCAAAAAAAGGAAAAUGAGAUUGUGGGAAAUAUAGUCUCUAGGGUUCAAGAUUCUAAAUCAACACAAUUCUCCCUGUGAUCCUUUGGGAGACCAGUCUCCCCAGUGGAUAAAGAAAACAUAACUCAUAAUUUUAACUAAAUGUAUAUACAAAUGUUACAGUUUUUAAAGGGAAAUUACAAUAAUUUGGGGAUAAGAGGAAAAUAAAAGGGAAAAGGAACAAAACUAAUGAUAGGUGCAUUGACAAAAAGCCAAUUAGGGGGCAGUCCCCUUUGGCAUAUGAUUAAAAACAAAAGCAUUUCAACCCCCCCCCCCCAAGUUUAAAUUUGCCAUAUCUCAAAGUUCACUCUGGAUCCUCUGGUACAGCAUGUAGACUCUGCAGGCAUCCUCAUGGUGCUUUCUUGAUUCUGGGAGGUAGUCUCUUGUUCAAAAUUUGGCUCAAAUUCAAGUCAAAGUUCACAACAAUAACAUAGUCCACCCUGAGGAAAAUAAUAAUACAUUCCCCCUCCUCCCCAAGUUGGAUACAGGGAUGCAUGUAGGAAUUACGCAGGAAUACAUGGUCAAGUCACAAGGCAUAUGAAACAAGUGUCAAAAAAACACCAAGGAAUCAGAAAAAUUACAAUUAAAAAACCAAACUUCUGAGUCAGAUAAAGAAAUAUAAAAAGAAAACUUGAAAAAAAUUCUGGGAAGAAGGAAAAAAAAGGAAAAAUAUCACAACAGGUUCUUGUAGUGAUCCAUGUCCCGUAAGUGUAAAACAACAAUUAGUCACUAACCCACUUUAGCAGUCUGGACAACAGUAAGUUGUCACAUCAUGAGAGAAAAUAGAAAAAGAAACUAGAUCUCAAGACAAAUGGGAAAUAGAAUUUCCUGGUUCAAACCUUGUCUUCGUUAUUUUGGGAUAAUGGAGCCAGAGCAAGCUAUGUCAUAUGCUUGAUAUAAAGUGUGGUACAAGGAAGUCCUGCAUUUAACACAUGUUAAACAACCGCGACCUCAAGUCUCACACAUGAUCAAGUCAUUGUGCUUUUUGUGCAGAAUGUCAUCAAUCCCCACAGGACUGGUGUGGUUUCUUUCACUUUUUGUGUGCUUGUUUGGCACUUUGCAAGUCAAGUUCUAUGCUCCUUUGUAGUCUUUUUGUCCUUGGAUUAGACAUAGUCAUCAAGCAAAAGUCUCAUUUUAGUUAAAUAACUAUUGGCAGUUUGGCAUAGUCCAAAGCUUUCUGGGUAUGUGAAUGUCUUAGCUUAUGCUAUUGCAAAAAGCAAAAAUAGUUAAAUUUUUUUCAAUCUUAGUGACAUGUAUGUCAAAAGCAAAAAAUUGAGAAAAGAAGGAAUAAAAAUAAAAUACUGUAUGACACAUGUAGGAAGAAAACAAAAUGUUAAAGUUGUGUAUAUUUCACAAUUACAGAGGUAAAAUAUAGGGACUAGUUUUCAAAAAAUGAGAUUCAUUUCUUCUUUGCCUUACCAUGAUCCACAGUAUGAGUGCAAAAUAGGUAGAAAGAACAACAAUACAUUUAAGAAAAUACAAAAAAUAAUUAGUAAAGGCACAAAAUGCUACAAAAGGCACAUCAGGUCAAUAUACGUCACUAAUACAGAUUUUCUUCUAUGAGGUAGUAGAUAUGUUGCCCUACAAAGCAAUUUGUGCAUAUACAAGGAGCAGUCAAAUAAAGAGUAACAAAAUAGUACAAAUCCAGCAAUAAAGAAGUCCAAUCACAGUCAAUAGUCAAAUACAAUCAGUGCAAGCAAUUAUUCACCAUUAACAGAAGGUACUUGUGUUACAUGGCUACAAUGAAUCCACGAAUCCCUCUCUCCAAUUUUUAUGGCAGUUGGUGUAGUUAAUAGGACCUGGAAAGGUCCACAUUAAGCAGGUUCAGUCGACCCAGUAUGUUUGAAAUUCUUUAUGUAUACACUAUCACCUGGGUUUAAAUCAUGAAGUGAGAAAUCAAUGGGGCCUGCUUGAACAGCAGCUCCAGAGUCAUGGAGUUCUUUCAAUUUUGUUUGGAAUUGUUAUAUGUAACAAUGAUUGUAUCCCCUCAUAACAGUGAGGUAUAGGCAAGGGCAAAUGGUUGUGCCUGAAUAGGUGGAUGUCCAAAUAGCAUCUCAAAUAGUGAGAUGUGUAAAUCACCUCUGGGUCUGCUUCUGAGAUAAAAUAGGGCCAGAGGUAGAAUUUCAGGCCACUUUAUUCUUUUUAUAACACAAAUAUGGUAUUGGUUCCAAAGCCAGGCAGAACAAAAACAGAGAAAGGAAACUAUAGACAAAUAUCCUUAAAGAAUAUAGAUACAAAAAUCUUAAAUAAAAUACUAGCAAAAAAAGACUCCAGCAAGUUGUCACGAGGAUUAUUCAUUAUGACCAGGUGGAAUUUCUACCAGGAAUGCAAAGAUGGUUUAAUAUUAGGAAAACCAUCCACAUAAUUGAGCAUAUCAAUAAUCAAACCAAAAGAGAUCAUAUGAAUAUCUGGAUAGAUGAAGAAAAAGCCUUUGACAAAAUGCAAUACCCAUUGCUAUUGAAAAUACUAGAAAGUAUAGAAGGAAUAGAAGGACCAUUCCUCAAAAUAGUAAACAGUAUAUAUUUAAAACCAUCAGCAAGUAUUAUCUGCAAUGGGGACAAGUUAGAAGCCUUUGCAAUAAGAUCAGGAGUGAAGCAAUGAUGCCAAUUAUCACCUCUAUUAUUUAAUAUUGUACUAGAAAUGCUAGCAGUAUCCAUUAGAGAAGAAAAAAAUAAAUUGAAGGGAUUAAAAUAGGCAAUGAGGAAACUAAACUAUCACUCUUUGCAGAUGAUAUGAUGGUAUAUUUAAAGAAUCCCAGAAAAUCAACUAAAAGGCUAGUGGAAAUAAUUAACAAGUUUAGCAAAAUUUCAGGGUACAAGAUAAAUCCACAUCAGCAUUUAUAUAUAUAUAUAUAUUUCCAACAAACUUCAACAGCAGGAGUUAGAAAGAGAAACUCCAUUUAAAAUCACUCUAGACAAUAUAAAAUAUUUAGAAAUAUAUCUACUAAGGAAAACACAUGAAUUAUAUGAACACAGCUAUAAAACACCUUUCAGAAAUUAAUACUAGAUCUAAAUAACUGAAAAAACAUUAAUUGCUCAUGGGUAGGAAGAGCUAACAUAAAAAAUGACAAUCCUACUCAAAUUAAUCUACUUAUUCAGUGCCAUAUAUAUCAAAUUAUCAAAAAACUUUUUUUAUAGAAUUAGAAAAAAUAUAACAAAGUUCAUCUGAAAGAAUGAGAGAUAAAAAAUAUUGUGUGGAUAGAAUUUGUUCUCCAGGACUCUCUUACCCAGCAUCGCAUUUGAAUCUUUAUGCUAUGUGCUAACAUAGGGAGGAUAUAUAAUUUUUGUGUGACCCUGCCUCUCUUUCUCUCUCUCUCUCUCUCUCUCUCUCUCUCUCUCUCUCUCUCUCUCUCUCUCUCUCUCUCUCUCUCUCUCUCUCUCUCUCUCUGUCUCUCUCUCUGUCUCUCUCUCUGUCUCUCUCUCUCUCUCUCUCCUGAAAAGAAACUUGCUAACUCCUCGAAUCAAGAAAGUGAACUGUUUUGAGAAGGCGCCACAGAGAUGCCUGCAGAAACUACACACUGCAUCAAAAGAUCCAGAAUGAACUUUUGGAUGUAGUGAAUUGAACUAUGGAGGGUUGAAUACAUUUUUCCUGAAUGUAAACACAUGCCAAAGGGGAUUAUCACUAAUUGGCUUCUUUUAUUUCCCCUCUCUUCCCCAAAUUAUUUUACUUUCCCCUAGGAAUUGCAAUAUCAUAUGCACCUUUAGUAAGAGAUCUUUGAGAUAUAAGCUGAUUAUGUGUAAUGAUUCACGGGGGAGAUUAGACAUGUAAAUCUGGGAGAUCCCAACAUGCUCGCCUCCCAAUGGAAUCACAGGGGGGAUUGUGUGGACAGAAUCUGCUCCCCAGGAUUCUCUUACCCAGCAACCCAUUUGCAUGUUUAUGGUUUGUGCUAACAUAGAGAGUAUAUAAUUUUGGUGCAACCUUGACUCUCUCUCUCUCUCUUUCCCUGAACAUGACUGCUAAAGCUGGCUUUUAGCCAGGCAGGAGAAUUUACACACAUGGUCUUAUUUUAGUUAGAAAAUUGGGCAUUGAAUUUCUAUUUCUUUUUUAAAAAAAUUAUUCUAAUUCAAAUUACUAUUAAUGAAUUUUAUAAAACUAAUAUUUAUAGUUAUUGGUAUUAAUUUAAAUCCUACAAUAUCAAGGGAAAUGAUGAAAAAAAAAUGUGAAGGAUGGAGGCCUAGCAGUACCAGAUUUUAAACUGUACUAUAAAGCAAUGGUCAUCAAAACAAUAUGCUACUGCCUAAGAGAGAGAAAGGUGGAUCAAUGCAAUAGACUAGGAAUAAGUGACCUUAGCAAGCUAAUGUUCAAUAAACCCAAAGAUCCCAGUUUUGGGGACAAGAACUCAUUAUUUCACAAAAACUGCUGGGAAUAUUGGAAAACAGUAUGGAAAAAAUUAGGUUUAAAUCAUGUAAAAUUAAAUUUAUAUUUCUAAUUAUAAAAAUAUAUUUUAUGAGGUUUAUUAAGGAUCAUUAUAAAUCAAGAAAUAAAGAGGAUACAAAGUAAAAACAUGUGCCCAUGACUGGUUAGCCAAUUUCAAAUUUUUCCUAACUUACCAUCAUCACUGCUGAUUCUACAUUAUGCAAAAAAAAAAGAGGAUGUAGGAGGUGUUACUGCUAGUUAAAUACCAAUAAUGUGAUCUCACCAAUGUGGAGAUGCAGGAGGGAUUAUAGGAAAUUCUGGGAAAUACCAAGGACUUCUGGGGAAUGAAGUCAAAGGUUCAAAAUCUCCAUUUAUAAACAUCUCACACCCUAUACAAGAUAAAUUCAAAAUGAGUAAAUGACUAACGAGUAAAAUCAUAAAUAAAUUAGGUGAACAUAGAAUAGUAUACCUGUCAGAUCUGUGGGAAAGAAAUGAAUUUAACACCAAGCAAGAGAUAGAGAACAUUACAAAAUAUAAAAUAAAUGACUUUGAUUAUAUCCAAUUAAAAAGGUUUUGUACAAACAAAACCAAUGCAACCAAAAUUAGAAGGAAAGCAACAAACUGGGAGGACAUUUUUAUAACAAAAUUCUCUGACAAAAGUUUAAUUUCCCAACUAUAUAAGGAACUAAGUCAAAUUUACAAAAAAAUCAAGCCAUUCCCCAAUUGAUAAAUGGGCAAGGGACAUGAAUAGUCAGUUUUCACAUAAUUUAAAUCAAAACUAUCAAUAAGCACAUACAAAUUGUUCUAAAUCCCUCAUAAUUAGAGAAAUGCAAAUUAAAACAAUACUGAGGUACCACUUUACUGCUGGUAGACUGGCCAAUAUGGUAGCAAAGGAAAAUGAUAAAUAUUGGAGGGAAUGUGGCAAAAUUGGGACACUAAUACACUGCUGGUGGAGUUGUGAAUUGGUCCACCCAUUCUGGAGGGCAAUUUGAAACUAUGUAUGUAGGAUUCCAGGCAUAUACAUAUGGAAAAUGUGGUUGAUAUAUUGAUAUGAUAUUAUACUUUGUCAGAGCAGUUAAUGAGAUAGCUCAGAGGCCAGAAGAAUCUCUGGGCCUGAGCCACAGAGGGCUCAUCUCUGGCCUGGUCAGACAGCAUUCCAAUGCAUGAUUUAUGAGCAGGCCAUGCAGUCUUUGUUCUGGGAGUUUGAAAAGAGAGGGCUGAAUUUACCACGCCUCUAGCUUGUAUGUCAUUGAUGUGUCAAGCCAAUGUAAAUCCACUAUGUGCUGUUGCAUAUGCAUUACGUACCUCUUACCUCAUUACCUUAAUAAAAAAUCAGGAAGGGCGCCAUUCCUUCUCUUCUUCCUUUCUUCUCUCUCUCUCUCUCUAACCUGCCUGCUGGCCAUAUGGAUCGCUCCUUCUUUAGGGCUUUACUAUGGUCUCUAAAGUCUUCUUUCUUUAUUCUUUUCUUCCUUUUCACCUGACCGCCAGCCAGUGCAAUCUGCACUUGGAGUUUUAUCUCCCAAUUCUGCAAGCGGUACUUUUCUUCAACUGAUUCCUUUCUCACACCUAAUUCCUAAUCCUAUCUAAGAAUUCUACUCUCCACGAAUUCUUGGUUAUUUUUUAUCUUCCUUCACUGUAUGCCCCACAAAGGAAGAUAACAGGAAGAAGCAUCCUUCCUCCCCAAAAUCUGAUCUGUGCUUGCCUCAGUUCACCUACCCUCUCUCCAGCUUCUUUUCCCCUACUCAAAAUUAUAUUCCUUUAGAUUUCCCUUAUAUGCAGUGGUUGCUGGCCGGCUACUGUAAUGUACAAAGGGCUUUAAAAUAAUGCCUAACCUUUGACCCAGCUAGGUUUGUACCCCAAAGAGAUAAAGAGGAAAAAUAAUUGCCAAAAAUAUUUCUAGCUGCACUCUUUGUGGUGGCAAAAAUUGGAAAAUGAGGGGGUGUCCAUCUAUUGGGCAAUGGCUGAACAAAUUGUGGCAUCUGAUGGUGAUUAGAAUAUUAUUGUAAUAAAAGUUAUAAUGAACUGGAAGAAUUCCAUGUGAAUUGGAAAGACCUCCAGGAAUUGAUGUAGAGUGAAAGGAACAGAACCAGAACAUUGUAAACAGAGACUGAUACAUUAUGACACAAUCAAAUGUAAUAGACUUUUCUACUAGCAUCAAUGCAAUGACCUAGGACAAUCCAGAGGAACUUAUGAGAAAGAAUGCUAUGCACAUCCAGAGAAAAAACUAUGCAAACAUUAAUGCAGAAGAAAAACAUGUCAUGUAUCAAGUAGUUCUUUAGGGAUAUAUUUAGGGUUUUGAUAUUAAAAGACCACUCUACUGCAAAUAUGAAUAAUAUGGAAAUAGGUUUUGAACAAUGAUACAUGUAUAACCCAGUGGAACUGCUUGUCAGAUCUGGGAAGGAGGAAAGAAGAGGAAUGGGGAAUCAUGAAUCAUGUAAUUUAGAAAUUUAUUUAUAAUUAAUAAUAUAUAUAUAUUUAUUUAGAAUUUAGAUAAAUUUAAAUAAUUAAUUUAGAAAAUUAUUCUA